rnacentral:rRNA from 1 species
GGGUGAUUAACACAUCGGAACGUGCCCGGUAGUGGGGGAUAACCUCUCGAAAGAGAGGCUAAUACCGCAUACGACCUGAGGGUGAAAGCGGGGGCUCUUCGGACCUCGCGCUAGGGGAGCGGCCGAUGUCGGAUUAGCUAGUUGGUGGGGUAAGAGCCCACCAAGGCUGCGAUCCGUAGCUGGUCUGAGAGGACGACCAGCCACACUGGAACUGAGACACGGUCCAGACUCCUACGGGAGGCAGCAGUGGGGAAUUUUGGACAAUGGGGGCAACCCUGAUCCAGCCAUGCCGCGUGGGUGAAGAAGGCCUUCGGGUUGUAAAGCCCUUUCGGCCGGGACGAAAAGGUGCGUGCUAACACCGCGCACCGCUGACGGUACCGGCAGAAGAAGCACCGGCUAACUACGUGCCAGCAGCCGCGGUAAUACGUAGGGUGCAGGCGUUAAUCGGAAUUACUGGGCGUAAAGCGUGCGCAGGCGGUCUCUUAAGACAGGUGUGAAAUCCCCGGGCUUAACCUGGGAACUGCGCUUGUAACUGAGAGGCUGGAGUGUGGCAGAGGGGGGUGGAAUUCCACGUGUAGCAGUGAAAUGCGUAGAGAUGUGGAGGAACACCGAUGGCGAAGGCAGCCCCCUGGGCUAACACUGACGCUCAGGCACGAAAGCGUGGGGAGCAAACAGGAUUAGAUACCCUGGUAGUCCACGCCCUAAACGAUGUCAACUGGUUGUCGGGGAAGCAAUUCCUUGGUAACGAAGCUAACGCGUGAAGUUGACCGCCUGGGGAGUACGGCCGCAAGGUUAAAACUCAAAGGAAUUGACGGGGACCCGCACAAGCGGUGGAUUAUGUGGAUUAAUUCGAUGCAACGCGAAAAACCUUACCUACCCUUGACAUGCCAGGAACCCGAGAGAGAUCUCGGGGUGCCCGAAAGGGAGCCUGGACACAGGUGCUGCAUGGCUGUCGUCAGCUCGUGUCGUGAGAUGUUGGGUUAAGUCCCGCAACGAGCGCAACCCUUGCCAAUAGUUGCCACAUUUCAGGUGGGCACUCUAUUGGGACUGCCGGUGACAAACCGGAGGAAGGUGGGGAUGACGUCAAGUCCUCAUGGCCCUUAUGGGUAGGGCUUCACACGUAAUACAAUGGCCGGUACAGAGGGCAGCCAACGAGCGAUCGGGAGCUAAUCCCAGAAAGCCGGUCGUAGUCCGGAUUGCAGUCUGCAACUCGACUGCAUGAAGCCGGAAUCGCUAGUAAUCGCGGAUCAGCAUGUCGCGGUGAAU